GCCAAGCGGUAAGGCAGCGGCUUUUGAUGCCGCCAUGCGCAGGUUCGAAUCCUNN
rnacentral:tRNA from 1 species